UUUAUUCAUACGUUAUAAAAUGAGCGCCAAGAUUUGCCAUCAAAGUGAGCCCAUGCUUGAAGUGCAGGAGGACUGCAACAGCGAAAUACCAAAAAAAGUGACUCAUCUUUGUCUCCAUGGACAGUUGUAUAGAGAAAUUUUGGUGAUGGUGGUUGCAUAAUCAGCGUCCUAAGCACCGGCGAAAUCCUUUAGAAACGUCACGCAACUCUAUUGUUGAUUACAUCAUUAUGGAACACGUGGUGUCAUCAACAAAAGGUUCUGCUCAUACCUAUUCCAAACAACUUAAAUUGAAACCAAGAUCUCGGAAAAGUAAGGUUUACGCUGAAAUAAGUGAUCAUCUUGGUUACUUCAUCUGCUAACUCUCGUGCUGGGAGACGAAGUAAAUCAUGGCAAUACAUGGUCUAGAGGAAUACGCGGAAUGAAUAAGAUGCAAGAUGUAUGUUCUUAUAAUAUCUUCUGAAACGAAACAAAA